rnacentral:sRNA from 2 species
AUAUCUCUCUGUACGGGAAGGAUGAGAAGCUUCGACUAAGGUUCGAUUCGAGCGCAGCGAGAAAGCGUUGCCGCAGGCAACGACCCGAAGGGCGAAGCGCGCAGCGC